UGUUCAUCACUGGUGAAAAUGCAUAGAUAAUGGUAAUGACAAUGUCAAAAAAUAAUGUCUUGUAGCUGAGAAUUUGCUCUGUCAAAUAGUGUCAUUGUGCUUUUUGUAGUUGUUAUAGUUUCCAUGGAAAUAAAUAAGAGCCAUUACUUUCAGAGCAACCUACAUACACCUGUAUGUAUUACCUUUCCAGAAUAGAACAUAUAAUUCUCGGCAGAGGAAAAUUUGUAGUUCUUACUGACGUAUUAGGACCAUUGUCUGCCACUAUAGGUUUCUGCCUUGGUUUCCUUUUUUUGUACCCACUGUUGCUUACCUCUGCUUGAAAUUUCAGCCUCCCCAUUCCCAUCACACUUGCAGUAGUUAAAGUAAUUCUCAAUGGAGUAUGAGGUUGCCACCAUUGACAAACCUUUGCAGAAGGCAGAAGUGGUAUUUAAGUUACAUUAUUCAGAUUUAG
rnacentral:lncRNA from 1 species